UGUCCAAGGGAUAGGGGUUUUUUCCUGGAGAAUAAACUCAUGAACUCAACCUGGUCUUUUGGGAGUUUUACUAACCCUCUGUGGCAGGCUUGAGCACCCUGUUACAUUUUGGCGCCCAACGUAAAAAACUUAAGGAGGAGUCAGCAGUGACGAUUGUCUGAGGUAUGAACCGGACUAUAGCAAGUCUACGAACUGUAGGAGCGAUAUCCGGCGAUGACGUCAAGGUGACCUUGACAGAUAUAAUAUAGAAUACGUGCCACCAUUAUAACUCGACCUUGACCUACGUUACCCGCUUCCGGUGAAGAACGUGAUUUUUUCUGUGUCGUGUUUAUAAACAUUUUUCUGCGAUGGUGUUCCUUGCUAAAUACUCAUCUGUGUUUAUUUCAUGGACCAUAGCAGUGGAUCGGGAACAAUUGACAAUACAGAUAAAAUCAGUCAUACUGCACUCUCAGAUCAAGGGGAAUAAAUCUGUAUUAAUUGAGAUCAUGGACCCCAUCUCACCUGGUCCAACAGGCCAAGGCCAGCUUUUGCCAUACUGUGGCAUCCGUCGACUUGCAUGUGGGGUCCAUCCAUCGACAAUUGACUUCUUCUUAACCGCAGAUCAGAAUUUAACCAAAGAUGAUAGCCACAGACUUGACACAAAUGCAGCAAAAACAGCUCAGCAUGUGAGCACAACUGGAGGAGUACAAAUGUAAAACACCUGGAACAUGUUCAUAGACUUCUACAGAUUGAGUGUAGGAUAGAGCUUAUGAUAUAUAUUCUUGAACGACCUGACCAAGGACCAGCUUGGAGAAUUCCAGCUCAUGGACACGAAAAGUUUCCUAAAACAGAACAUUAAUUGUACCACAGUUGCAGUAACAGGCUGAGGACGCCUCCACUCCCCAAAGACCGGGUUCACCAAGAACAACACAAACAAUACUUGGACACAGCAAACUUCCUAAAACAGACCAACAUUCUACCACAGCUGCUGUCUGUCACAGGUCAUGGCUGAAGGUAUCUGCCCAAAGACUGGGUUCACUUAAUUAGGAAUAACACAAACAAUACUUGGAUAACACCCCUUCAGGCUACUGUGUCCAGUCUACAUAUGUUUGCAUCUUCAAGAGGAGCCUGAACGACAAUAUGGCAAAAAGCUAGCAAGUCCAACAGUCAAAGACAAAAUGAAGUGAACUGAAAAGAUACUAAUUAUUAUAAGGAC